UUCCUACGGGGCGCAGCAGUGGGGAAUAUUGCACAAUGGGGGAAACCCUGAUGCAGCGACGCCGCGUGAAGGAAGAAGUAUUUCGGUAUGUAAACUUCUAUCAGCAGGGAAGAAAAUGACGGUACCUGACUAAGAAGCCCCGGCUAACUACGUGCCAGCAGCCGCGGUAAUACGUAGGGGGCAAGCGUUAUCCGGAUUUACUGGGUGUAAAGGGAGCGUAGACGGCACUGCAAGUCCGGAGUGAAAGCCCAAGGCUUAACCAUGGGCCUGCUCUGGAAACUGUGGAGCUUGAGUGCGGGCGGGGC
rnacentral:rRNA from 1 species